rnacentral:rRNA from 1 species
GUCGCCUCCUAAAAGGUAACGGAGGCGCUCAAAGGUUCCCUCAGAAUGGUUGGAAAUCAUUCAUAGAGUGUAAAGGCAUAAGGGAGCUUGACUGCGAGACCUACAAGUCGAGCAGGGUCGAAAGACGGACUUAGUGAUCCGGUGGUUCCGCAUGGAAGGGCCAUCGCUCAACGGAUAAAAGCUACCCCGGGGAUAACAGGCUUAUCUCCCCCAAGAGUUCACAUCGACGGGGAGGUUUGGCACCUCGAUGUCGGCUCAUCGCAUCCUGGGGCUGUAGUCGGUCCCAAGGGUUGGGCUGUUCGCCCAUUAAAGCGGUACGCGAGCUGGGUUCAGAACGUCGUGAGACAGUUCGGUCCCUAUCCGUCGUGGGCGUAGGAAAUUUGAGAGGAGCUGUCCUUAGUACGAGAGGACCGGGAUGGACAUACCUCUGGUGUACCAGUUGUCGUGCCAACGGCAUAGCUGGGUAGCUAUGUGUGGACGGGAUAAGUGCUGAAAGCAUCUAAGCAUGAAGCCCCCCUCAAGAUGAGAUUUCCCAACUUCGGUUAUAAGAUCCCUCAAAGAUGAUGAGGUUAAUAGGUUCGAGGUG